GAAAAGAAACCAACAGGGAUUGCCCUAGUAACGGCGAGUGAAGCGGCAACAGCUCAAAUUUGAAAGCUGGCUCCGGCCCGCAUUGUAAUUUGCAGAGGAUGCUUUUGGCGAGGUGCCUUCCGAGUUCCCUGGAACGGGACGCCAUAGAGGGUGAGAGCCCCGUAUGGAUGGACACCAAACCUGUGUAAAGCUCCUUCAACGAGUCGAGUAGUUUGGGAAUGCUGCUCUAAAUGGGAGGUAAAUCUCUUCUAAAGCUAAAUACCGGCCAGAGACCGAUAGCGCACAAGUAGAGUGAUCGAAAGAUGAAAAGCACCUUGAAAAGGGGGUUAAACAGUACGUGAAAUUGUUGAAAGGGAAGCGCUUGUGACCAGACUUGCGCCGGGCAGCUCAUCAGGGGUUCUCCCCUGUGCACUCUGCCCGGCUCAGGCCAGCAUCGGUUCUCGUGGGAGGAUAAGAACAGUGGGAACGUGGCCCCCUCUCGGGGGGGUGUUAUAGCCCAUUGUACGAUACUCUCGUGGGGACCGAGGUUCGCGCUCCGCAAGGAUGCUGGCGUAAUGGUCAUCAGCGACCCGUCUUGAAACACGGACCAAGGAGUCGUCCAUUAGAGCGAGCGUUUGGGUGUAAAACCCGCACGCGUAAUGAAAGUGAACGCAGGUGAGAGCUUCGGCGCAUCAUCGACCGAUCCUGAUGUCUUCGGAUGGAUUUGAGUAAGAGUUUUAACGGACGGACCCGAAAGACAGUGAACUAUGCUUGUAUAGGGUGAAGCCAGAGGAAACUCUGGUGGAGGCUCGCAGCGGUUCUGACGUGCAAAUCGAUCGUCAAAUAUGAGCAUGGGGGCGAAAGACUAAUCGAACUGUCUAGUAGCUGGUUACCGCCGAAGUUUCCCUCAGGAUAGCAGUGUUGUUCUUCAGUUUUAUGAGGUAAAGCGAAUGAUUAGGGACUCGGGGGCGCUUAUUAGCCUUCAUCCAUUCUCAAACUUUAAAUAUGUAAGAAGCCCUUGUUACUUAAUUGAACGUGGGCAUUCGAAUGUACCAACACUAGUGGGCCAUUUUUGGUAAGCAGAACUGGCGAUGCGGGAUGAACCGAACGCGGGGUUAAGGCGCCAGAGUGUACGCUCAUCAGACACCACAAAAGGCGUUAGUACAUCUUGACAGCAGGACGGUGGCCAUGGAAGUCGGAAUCCGCUAAGGACUGUGUAACAACUCACCUGCCGAAUGUACUAGCCCUGAAAAUGGAUGGCGCUCAAGCGUACCGCCCAUACCCCGCCCUCAGGGUAGAAACGAUGCCCUGAGGAGUAGGCGGCCGUGGGGGUCAGUGACGAAGCCUAGGGCGUGAGCCCGGGUCGAACGGCCC
rnacentral:rRNA from 1 species